CUACGGGGUGCUGCAGUCGAGAAUCUUCCGCAAUGGACGAAAGUCUGACGGAGCGACGCCGCGUGCGGGAUGAAGGCCUUCGGGUUGUAAACCGCUGUCAGUGGGGAGGAAAUGCAUCAGGGUUCUCCCUGGUGUUUGACCGAUCCGCAGAGGAAGCGCAGGCUAAGUUCGUGCCAGCAGCCGCGGUAACACGAACUGCGCGAACGUUAUUCGGAAUCACUGGGCUUAAGGAGUUCGUAGGCGGCCUUUCAAGUCGGGUGUGAAAUCCCUCGGCUCAACCGGGGAAUUGCGCCUGAUACUGUUGGGCUUGAGGGGGAUAGGGGUGAGCGGAACUGAUGGUGGAGCGGUGAAAUGCGUUGAUAUCAUCAGGAACACCGGUGGCGAAGGCGGCUCACUGGAUCUCUUCUGACGCUGAGGAACGAAAGCUAGGGGAGCGAACGGGAUUAGAUACCCCCGUAGUC
rnacentral:rRNA from 1 species